AUUGAACGCUGGCGGCAGGCCUAACACAUGCAAGUCGAGCGGAUGAAGGGAGCUUGCUCCUGGAUUCAGCGGCGGACGGGUGAGUAAUGCCUAGGAAUCUGCCUGGUAGUGGGGGAUAACGUCCGGAAACGGGCGCUAAUACCGCAUACGUCCUGAGGGAGAAAGUGGGGGAUCUUCGGACCUCACGCUAUCAGAUGAGCCUAGGUCGGAUUAGCUAGUUGGUGGGGUAAAGGCCUACCAAGGCGACGAUCCGUAACUGGUCUGAGAGGAUGAUCAGUCACACUGGAACUGAGACACGGUCCAGACUCCUACGGGAGGCAGCAGUGGGGAAUAUUGGACAAUGGGCGAAAGCCUGAUCCAGCCAUGCCGCGUGUGUAAAGAAGGUCUUCGGAUUGUAAAGCACUUUAAGUUGGGAGGAAGGGCAGUAGGUUAAUACCUUGCUGUUUUGACGUUACCAACAGAAUAAGCACCGGCUAACUUCGUG
rnacentral:rRNA from 1 species